rnacentral:rRNA from 1 species
AGUUUGAUCCUGGCUCAGAGCGAACGCUGGCGGCAGGCUUAACACAUGCAAGUCGAGCGCCCCGCAAGGGGAGCGGCAGACGGGUGAGUAACGCGUGGGAACGUGCCCUAAGGUACGGAACAACCAAGGGAAACUUUGGCUAAUACCGUAUGUGCCCGAGAGGGGAAAGAUUUAUCGCCUUAGGAGCGGCCCGCGUCUGAUUAGCUAGUUGGUGAGGUAACGGCUCACCAAGGCGACGAUCAGUAGCUGGUCUGAGAGGAUGAUCAGCCACACUGGGACUGAGACACGGCCCAGACUCCUACGGGAGGCAGCAGUGGGGAAUAUUGGACAAUGGGGGCAACCCUGAUCCAGCCAUGCCGCGUGAGUGAUGAAGGCCUUAGGGUUGUAAAGCUCUUUCGACGGGGAAGAUAAUGACGGUACCCGUAGAAGAAGCCCCGGCUAACUUCGUGCCAGCAGCCGCGGUAAUACGAAGGGGGCUAGCGUUGCUCGGAUUUACUGGGCGUAAAGCGCACGUAGGCGGGUCGUUAAGUCGGGGGUGAAAUCCCGGAGCUCAACUCCGGAACUGCCUUCGAUACUGGCGAUCUCGAGUCCGGGAGAGGUGAGUGGAACUCCGAGUGUAGAGGUGAAAUUCGUAGAUNUUCGGAAGAACACCAGUGGCGAANNGGCUCACUGGGCCCGGUACUGACGCUGAGUGCGAAAGCGUGGGGAGCAAACAGGAUUAGAUACCCUG